rnacentral:rRNA from 1 species
AGAGUUUGAUCCUGGCUCAGGAUGAACGCUAGCGGCAGGCUUAACACAUGCAAGUCGAGGGGCAGCAUAAUGGAUAGCAAUAUCUAUGGUGGCGACCGGCGCACGGGUGCGUAACGCGUAUGCAACCUACCUUUAACAGGGGGAUAACACUGAGAAAUUGGUACUAAUACCCCAUAACAUCAUGAAAGGCAUCUUUUAUGGUUGAAAAUUCCGAUGGUUAGAGAUGGGCAUGCGUUGUAUUAGCUAGUUGGUGAGGUAACGGCUCACCAAGGCGACGAUACAUAGGGGGACUGAGAGGUUAACCCCCCACACUGGUACUGAGACACGGACCAGACUCCUACGGGAGGCAGCAGUGAGGAAUAUUGGUCAAUGGACGCAAGUCUGAACCAGCCAUGCCGCGUGCAGGAUGACGGCUCUAUGAGUUGUAAACUGCUUUUGUACUAGGGUAAACUCACCUACGUGUAGGUGACUGAAAGUAUAGUACGAAUAAGGAUCGGCUAACUCCGUGCCAGCAGCCGCGGUAAUACGGAGGAUUCAAGCGUUAUCCGGAUUUAUUGGGUUUAAAGGGUGCGUAGGCGGUUUGAUAAGUUAGAGGUGAAAUGUUAGGGCUCAACCCUGAAACUGCCUCUAAUACUGUUGAGCUAGAGAGUAGUUGCGGUAGGCGGAAUGUAUGGUGUAGCGGUGAAAUGCUUAGAGAUCAUACAGAACACCGAUUGCGAAGGCAGCUUACCAAACUAUAUCUGACGUUGAGGCACGAAAGCGUGGGGAGCAAACAGGAUUAGAUACCCUGGUAGUCCACGCAGUAAACGAUGAUAACUCGUUGUCGGCGAUACACAGUCGGUGACUAAGCGAAAGCGAUAAGUUAUCCACCUGGGGAGUACGUUCGCAAGAAUGAAACUCAAAGGAAUUGACGGGGGCCCGCACAAGCGGAGGAACAUGUG